GAUGAACGCUGGCGGCGAGCCUAAUACAUGCAAGUCGAGCGAAUGGAUUAAGAGCUUGCUCUUAUGAAGUUAGCGGCGGACGGGUGAGUAACACGUGGGUAACCUGCCCAUAAGACUGGGAUAACUCCGGGAAACCGGGGCUAAUACCGGAUAACAUUUUGAACCGCAUGGUUCGAAAUUGAAAGGCGGCUUCGGCUGUCACUUAUGGAUGGACCCGCGUCGCAUUAGCUAGUUGGUGAGGUAACGGCUCACCAAGGCAACGAUGCUUAGCCGACCUGAGAGGGUGAUCGGCCACACAGGGACUGAGACACGGCCCAGACUCCUACGGGAGGCAGCAGUAGGGAAUCUUCCGCAAUGGACGAAAGUCUGACGGAACAACGCCGCGUGAGUGAUGAAGGCUUUCGGGUCGUAAAACUCUGUUGUUAGGGAAGAACAAGUGCUAGUUGAAUAAGCUGGCACCUUGACGGUACCUAACCAGAAAGCCACGGCUAACUACGUGCCAGCCGCCGCAGUAA
rnacentral:rRNA from 1 species